AGGACGAACGCUGGCGGCGUGCUUAACACAUGCAAGUCGAGCGGAAAGGCCCUUCGGGGUACUCGAGCGGCGAACGGGUGAGUAACACGUGAGUAAUCUGCCCCUAGCUCUGGGAUAGCUCCGGGAAACCGGGAUUAAUACCAGAUAUGACCACUUUAGACAUCUGCUGUGGUGGAAGAAUUUCGGCUAGGGAUGAGCUCGCGGCCUAGUCAGCUUGUUGGUGGGGUAAUGGCCUACCAAGGCGACGACGGGUA
rnacentral:rRNA from 1 species